GUGGGGAAUAUUGGACAAUGGGCGCAAGCCUGAUCCAGCCAUGCCGCGUGAGUGAUGAAGGCCCUAGGGUUGUAAAGCUCUUUCACCGGUGAAGAUAAUGACGGUAACCGGAGAAGAAGCCCCGGCUAACUUCGUGCCAGCAGCCGCGGUAAUACGAAGGGGGCUAGCGUUGUUCGGAAUUACUGGGCGUAAAGCGCACGUAGGCGGACAUUUAAGUCAGGGGUGAAAUCCCAGAGCUCAACUCUGGAACUGCCUUUGAUACUGGGUGUCUAGAGUAUGGAAGAGGUGAGUGGAAUUCCGAGUGUAGAGGUGAAAUUCGUAGAUAUUCGGAGGAACACCAGUGGCGAAGGCGGCUCACUGGUCCAUUACUGACGCUGAGGUGCGAAAGCGUGGGGAGCAA
rnacentral:rRNA from 1 species